rnacentral:lncRNA from 1 species
CCCUCCAGCCCCUGCCCCGCUACCCACCCCCCACCCCCCUGCCGGGCGGCAAGUAGCCGCUGCAAACCCUUCCCGGGGGACCUGGAAGGCUGGGCUGGGGUGCGGCGGGGGCGGAGCUCGGCGCCCUGCUGCCGCCGCCACCGCCGCCGCUGCCUGCGAAGCUACAGCCCCUUCCCCGGAUGCUCCGGCCCGGCGGCGCUGCCCUCCGUGGACAGGUGGGCGCAUCCCGGGCCUGACGGAGGAGCAGUCGGGCACGUGAACUCCCACCUCCAAUUUGGCUCCGUGCCGGGCGGCGGCGGCUGCAGCCCCGCGGUGGGGGCGGCCCCCGCGGUCUCCGCCCGGCUCCUGCGCGCCGCCUCUGCUCUUUGCAUAGUAAUUUCAGUUCCUGCGAGCACCCAGCUAGCUCCCGGAACGGGGCGAAAAAGGACCGCCGCUCCGGAGCCCGCCGGAGCUAUCCGUGUGGCGCCGAGAGCCGCCGCUUGGGAUAUGCGACGGGGAACCCCCGCCACAGCGCAGGCAGCGGCCCCGCGGCGCCGGGGAGAGCCCAGCGAGAGCAGAUGCAGUUCGAAGGGAAGAACCAAUUUUCCAGCGAGUAUCUUUGAAGUGCAUUUGAGGCAGCUGUUACUGCGAAGAUUGAUCCUUCAGAGGAAUCGUCCCUGACUCCGUCCCUACACUGAGCUAAAACUGCUUCCCAGGUGGAACACUGUUCCGGGGAGAGCUCUGAGG